AUUGAACGCUGGCGGCAGGCCUAACACAUGCAAGUCGAACGAGUGGCGGACGGGUGAGUAAUGUCUGGGAAACUGCCUGAUGGAGGGGGAUAACUACUGGAAACUGUCUCUAAUACCGCAUACCCUCAUGUGUCCCCAGAUGGGAUUAGCUUGUUGGUGGGGUAACGGCUCCCGAAGGCGACGAUCCCUAGCUGGUCUGAGAGGAUUACCAGCCACACUGGAACUGAGACACGGUCCAGACUCCUACGGGAGGCAGCAGUGGGGAAUAUUGCACAAUGGGCGCAAGCCUGAUGCAGCCAUGCCGCGUGUAUGAAGAAGGCCUUCGGGUUGUAAAGUACUUUCAGCGGGGAGGCGUUACCCGCAGAAGAAGCACCGGCUAACUCCGUGCCAGCAGCCGCGGUAAUUC
rnacentral:rRNA from 1 species